rnacentral:rRNA from 1 species
UACGAAGGGUGCAAACGUUGCUCGGAAUUAUUGGGCGUAAAGCGCACAUAGGCGGCUCAGCAAGUUGGAUGUGAAAUCCCUCGGCUCAACCAAGGAAGUGCAUCCAAAACUGCAGAGCUUGAGUACUUAAGAGGAUCGCGGAAUUCCCGGUGUAGAGGUGAAAUUCGUAGAUAUCGGGAGGAACACCAGUGGCGAAGGCGGCGAUCUGGGAAGAUACUGACGCUGAGGUGCGAAAGCGUGGGGAGCAAACAGG